GAUGACAAACAAACUCUAAGAUCAUCUUCCACUUGUAAACUAGCUCUGCAUUUGUUCUUCAUUACAGUCAGAGUUGAAAAUGUUGAUUCACAGAGGCAACAUUUUCAUGGCCUCAGCAGCCAGUUCACGAUACUCAUGUGAGAGGGAGGCCCAAAAGUUUGCAUGAUUUUCCUGUUGGAAUCUGGCCUUCAAUGUUCUGU